AGUGAACGCUGGCGGUAGGCCUAACACAUGCCAGCCGAACGGCAGCACAGUAAGAGCUUGCUCUUACGGGUGGCGAGUGGCGGACGGGUGAGGAAUACAUCGGAAUCUACUUUUUCGUGGGGGAUAACGUAGGGAAACUUACGCUAAUACCGCAUACGACCUACGGGUGAAAGCAGGGGAUCUUCGGACCUUGCGCGAUUGAAUGAGCCGAUGCCGGAUUAGCUAGUUGGCGGGGUAAAGGCCCACCAAGGCGACGAUCCGUAGCUGGUCUGAGAGGAUGAUCAGCCACACUGGAACUGAGACACGGUCCAGACUCCUACGGGAGGCAGCAGUGGGGAAUAUUGGACAAUGGGCGCAAGCCUGAUCCAGCCAUACCGCGUGGGUGAAGAAGGCCUUCGGGUUGUAAAGCCCUUUUGUUGGGAAAGAAAAGCAGCAGGUUAAUACCCCGCUGUUCUGACGGUACCCAAAGAAUAAGCACCGGCUAACUUCGUG
rnacentral:rRNA from 1 species